rnacentral:lncRNA from 1 species
CAUCAUUAUGGUUAGUUUGUAAUGUUGGAUAAAGCUGGAGAGAACCACCAACCUGAGGCAAGAAAACUAACCAUCCUAGUCAAUUAAGAUUGAGUUGAAAACACCUGUCAUAAAUACAGUGUUAGAACUCACUACCUCAGUGUUGACAGGCUAGUGAUCUUGUUUUUGGACUUCUUAUACCACUAAGCUACUGUGUAUAUUUAUGCCCCUAUCAAAUAACUUUAUCAUAAGUGAAAGUCCAUCUGCUAUACAUUAUUUAAAGGUACUAAUUAUCUGUAGUUCUCUUUUAUGGGCAUUAAUGAUGAGAAAUAACUACAUUAAUAGUGUUCAACUUUCACAAUUGCAUAAAUUCAC